rnacentral:lncRNA from 1 species
CUUUCUCUUCUCUUCCCUCCAAUCUCAGCCACACAUGUGGCACCAUAUCCAUUCUCCAACAAAUCUGGAAUCUUCCAGAUUAAUAAUUAGAUUCCCAUUUUGCCCAUAAAUUCUUUCAUUAAUAACUCAUUCGUUAUAACUUCGUUUCAUAAACGGUUUGCGCCUAUGCCUUCGUGAGAUCGAGCUCUAUCCAAAUAUAUCAAGAAAUACAAUAAAAUAUAUACAAGGAUAAAAUAUGUCAUCGUAUAAUUACGUUAAACCAACUAGGGCAUUUUCAUCUUUUUCACCUAUCGAUAAAUUUUUAUGACGUAAAUUAUAAUAAUUUCAGGGAACAAAAUUUUUAAAAUUUCUCAAUUCAAUUUUCAUAACCAUAAAUCGAUUUAUUUUUUAUUUUCUCCACAUUUUCAUAAUUAUGAAUAUCUAAUUCAUAUAUUUAAAUUUUCAAGGCAUUACAAAAGAUGUCGAAAAAAUAAUCAGUGACCACACCUGCUAUUCCUGCAUCAUCAUCAUACCAAACACCAUUACUACCCCUUAAACCAACAAUACGAUUCUUGCUCCUAUGAACAGAAGCCCUUCGAUGGAAGAAUUUGGUAUUCCGGUCACCAUCACGCAUCCAACCGGCCUUAGACCUUUGUCUCCAAUAGGUCUCCUCUUAGGCCAAAAGGGAUUCAAGUUACUGAGCAAGAACCUGUCUUUUUACAAGAGAUGAAUUAAAAAAAGGUUGGUCAAUAGAAUGUAAUUUAGAGCAGACCUUACUCAAUUCGACUUGGUAAGCUUCUCAUGAAGUUGGUAAAGAGUUAGGAGAGUGAUGUUGAAGCUUCUCAUGAGUCUAGUUCCUCUGUUGCCUAUGGAGUCGAGGGUAGAUACCAAGUCACUUGUUGGCUUACAACCACAACAUGGCUUGACUAGUGGCAUAUACCACUUAAGGCACUUCUAACUUUACGCACAGUCACUACUAAAAAUUUAGGUCAAAGGCCACAAAUUAUGGUUCACCCUCUUAAUGAGGAUAAAUACCUCAAGGGACUCUCACUGACUAUAAGUGACACCUAAUGAUAUAGAAUGUAUUAGGAGAACCUAUUUGGACACACCCCGAUCCGAAUUCCAGUGGGCACUAAAAUUGAGGCUUGUUGACCAUCACCCGAAACAAUGACAAAGCCAUGGUAUGCAUGAAAUCAUCACAAAAGUUUUUUAACUCUUAAAAUCUGCCUAAUAUUCGGUAAAGCAUCCUUAAAGUAGAGAUAAUCCCAAAUUAAAGCACCUACAAACAACCACAUUUAUUCCAAGACAUUCCCGAAGGGCCACACCUAAUGCGUCUCUGACCCUCUAUUACAUACAUAAAUAUAGGUAGAUAGCACACUUCACCAAUACUAGUACUACGGAUAAAGCGAAGCAUGUAUCCUACUAAGUGAGAUAAUAUCAGAGCAUGUGAAGAUACCUCGACAUCUACUAAUAAUUCUUAUAUACACUAAGCUAUUGCUUACCAGUGGCAUGGCAUACCAAAUCAUACACCAGUAAUAAUCAGUGUAAGCUGAAAGUAUAACCAUUUCAUUGCCUCGAAAUUUCGAGGCAAUGACAAACUGAGAAUAUAAUUGUGUAUCAUGUCAUUAUUGAGUUAUCUCGAAGUAAUGCCAAGUUGAAAGUAUAAAUUUAUAACCAUAUCAUUACAGAGUAAUCUUGAUGCAAUGACAAGCUGAACAAUAUAACCAUACACAUGUAAGUUGGGUACCAUUUCCAUAGAAUGGACAAACUGAAUAAUAUAACCAUACACGUGUAAUCGGAAUACCGUGUCC